rnacentral:misc_RNA from 1 species
AACGCACAUUGCGCCUCUCUUUACCGGGAGGCAUGCCUGUCUGAGCGUCAUUUAAAGCAAUGGACUUUGUCCGUGUUGAGCUUCACGUUUGCGUGUUGCUUUAAAGCAAUUGGUCUAGGUUAGCGAAUGAGAUCCUUUCGGACUAAAGCGCAAAUCUGGCGAGAUAAAUUUCUGAUUUUGACCUCAGAUCAGGUAGGGACACCGCCUGAACUUAA